GGGGAAUAUUGGACAAUGGGCGCAAGCCUGAUCCAGCCAUGCCGCGUGGGUGAAGAAGGCCUUCGGGUUGUAAAGCCCUUUUGUUGGGAAAGAAAAGCAGCCGGCCAAUACCCGGUUGUUCUGACGGUACCCAAAGAAUAAGCACCGGCUAACUUCGUGCCAGCAGCCGCGGUAAUACGUAGGGGGCAAGCGUUAUCCGGAAUUACUGGGCGUAAAGGGUGCGUAGGCGGUUUAUCAAGUCAGGGGUGAAAGGCUACGGCUCAACCGUAGUGAGCCUCUGAAACUGGUGAACUUGAGUGUAGGAGAGGAAAGUGGAAUUCCCAGUGUAGCGGUGAAAUGCGUAGAUAUUGGGAGGAACACCAGUGGCGAAGGCGACUUUCUGGACUACAACUGACGCUGAGGCACGAAAGCGUGGGGAGCAAACA
rnacentral:rRNA from 1 species